rnacentral:sRNA from 1 species
UGAACUGAUGUAGGUAUUUUACCAUUGUU